UUUGGCCUGCAGGAUUUAUCCAUAUCCAGUUUUGGAGGGUUUCUCAAAGUGUUCCUAAUUGAUUCUGUUUUCUAACCAUUUUCCUAGGGAGAACCUCUUACUAAAGGUGAAAAGGGAGAUAGAGGAGAACCUGGGCUAAUGGGAUCACAGGGAAUAAAGGGUGAACCUGGAGAUCCUGGUCCCCCCGGUUUAAUAGGAAGCCCAGGACUAAAGGGUCAACAAGGACCUGCAGGCUCUAUGGGACCUAGAGGACCACCAGGAGAUAUUGUAUGUAUAGCAAGUACAAGUGUCUUCGAUAUGUGG